AUUGAACGCUGGCGGCAUGCUUUACACAUGCAAGUCGAACGGCAGCGCGGGCUUCGCCCUGGCGGCGAGUGGCGAACGGGUGAGCAAUGCAUCGGAACGUGCGCAGUUGUGGGGGAGAGCCCGGCGAAAGCCGGAUUAAUACCGCAUAAGACCUGAGGGCGAAAGCGGGGGACCGAAAGACCUUCCGCUCUUGCACCGGCCGAUGUCGGAUUAGCUAGUUGGCGGGGUAAAGGCGUACCAAGGCGACGAUCCGUAGCUGGUCUGAGAGGACGACCAGCCACACUGGGACUGAGACACGGCCCAGACUCCUACGGGAGGCAGCAGUGGGGAAUAUUGGACAAUGGGGGCAAGCCUGAUCCAGCCAUGCCGCGUGCGGGAAGAAGGCCUUCGGGUUGUAAACCGCUUUUGUUCGGGAAGAAAUCCUCUGGGCUAAUACCCCGGGGGGAUGACGGUACCGAAAGAAUAAGCACCGGCUAACUACGUG
rnacentral:rRNA from 1 species